rnacentral:rRNA from 1 species
AGCGAACGCUGGCGGCGUGCCUAACACAUGCAAGUCGAACGUGAAAGGGAGCAAUCCCAAGUAAAGUGGCGUACGGGUGAGUAACACGUAGGUAAUCUACCCCAGAAUCUGGAAUAACCGGCCGAAAGGCUGGCUAAUACUGGAUAGAGCGACAGAAUCCGUAAUUGGGUUUUUCGGGAAAGGGAGCCUGUAAAAAGGCCUUCGUUCUGGGAUGAGCCUGCGUCCCAUCAGCUAGUUGGUGAGGUAAAAGCUUACCAAGGCAAUGACGGGUAGCUGGUCUGAGAGGACGAUCAGCCACACUGGAACUGAAACACGGUCCAGACUCCUACGGGAGGCAGCAGAGGGGAAUCUUGCGCAAUGGACGAAAGUCUGACGCAGCAACGCCGCGUGAGUGAAGAAGGCCUUCGGGUUGUAAAGCUCUGUCGAGUGGGACGAAAAUGCUUGGAGUUCACAGCUCCAGGAACUGACGGUACCACUAAAGGAAGCACCGGCUAACUCCGUG